rnacentral:hammerhead_ribozyme from 1 species
AUCCAGGAGACGAGUCCCGAAUAGGACGAAAUGCGCAUUCUGGAU